GCCCAGAGUCAGGGUUGGGGUCAGGGGCUGAGCUGUUCCCAUCCCCAUGUCCCCCUGUCCCCGCAGGGCUCCGGGCGGCCGUGACCCUGCUGGAGUGCGGGGGGGACCUCCAGCCCCCCGGGGGGUCCCUGACCUUGCUGUGCCGCGUCUCCGGGUUCCAUGUCGGCGGUUUCCUCAUGUUCUGGAUCCGCCAGAGCCCCGGGCAGGGGCUGGAAUACGUCGGGAGCAUCAGGAAGGAAGGCUGGAGCGACUACGCGCCGUCGCUCAAGGGCCGGGUCACGAUCUCCAGGGACAGCGGGCAGAGCUCGGUGACGCUGACCAUGACCGACCUCCGGGACGAGGAUUCCGGCGUCUAUUUCUGCGGGAAAUGUUCUUUUGCUGGUUGCAAUUACGAAGCUUAUGGUACUGACGUUGGUUUCGGCCCUGCCUUUGCUCUUGGGAUCCCAAAUGUCCCCAGAGCCCUGACCCUGCCCCCAAACCUCCCCCAUGGACUCAGCUCGGAAUCCUCUGUCCCCAUCGGCCCCAAGGGCCAGCACUGACCCCAAACCCUCGCC